rnacentral:lncRNA from 1 species
CGUGGGGACCUAAAUAAGUUCUAGGUACACCUGACCACAGGAAAUAGAGGUGCAGUUUAAAGAAGGGAGACAGUGAUGGCCCACGUUUUCUGCUCUUUCCCAGCGGCCAGCCGCGUUAGGACGAUGGAGACGGCUGUCGGGGACGAAAUGGACCACGAGAUUCAGCCUCAAGGACAAUUUCCGUGGACUUCCAGUUACCUCUCCAUUGACUGCUAGGUUUUGACAGGUACGCUUACCCUGGGCACAGGAGCAGUGGGUUCUUGAGAGCUCACUGAAUUUCACACUUCAGUGAAAACGUUCUCCUUUUCACAGGUGGGACAGGUGGGUCCUCCAGGUUUCUGAGUUGGUGCCAGGAAGAGGCAUCGCCUCCUCAGCGAUACCCGGACCUUUCUUUCAUUCAUGCCCCAGGGUCUGUGACUUGUAGGUUCCUCUCUGUUGGGGGUGAGGUAGG